UACCAGCAGUGUGGAUGGUCAUCUGGUC
rnacentral:piRNA from 1 species